rnacentral:rRNA from 1 species
AGUGAACGCCGGCGGUAGGCCUAACACAUGCAAGUCGAACGGCAGCACAGUAAGAGCUUGCUCUUACGGGUGGCGAGUGGCGGACGGGUGAGGAAUACAUCGGAAUCUACUUUUUCGUGGGGGAUAACGUAGGGAAACUUACGCUAAUACCGCAUACGACCUACGGGUGAAAGCAGGGGAUCUUCGGACCUUGCGCGAUUGAAUGAGCCGAUGUCGGAUUAGCUAGUUGGCGGGUAAAGGCCCACCAAGGCGACGAUCCGUAGCUGGUCUGAGAGGAUGAACAGCCACACUGGAACUGAGACACGGUCCAGACUCCUACGGGAGGCAGCAGUGGGGAAUAUUGGACAAUGGGCGCAAGCCUGAUCCAGCCAUACCGCGUGGGUGAAGAAGGCCUUCGGGUUGUAAAGCCCUUUUGUUGGGAAAGAAAAGCAGCAGGUUAAUACCCCGCUGUUCUGACGGUACCCAAAGAAUAAGCACCGGCUAACUUCGUG